rnacentral:rRNA from 1 species
CACGUAGGGGCCAAGCGUUGUCCGGAUUUAUUGGGCGUAAAGAGCUCGUAGGCGGUUGGGUAAGUCGGGUGUGAAAAACUCUGGGCUCAACUCAGAGACGCCACCCCGAUACUGCUCUGACUUGAGUCCGGUAGGGGGAGUGGGGGAAUUCCUGGUGUAGCGGUGAAAAUGCGCAGAUAUCAGGAGGAACACCGAUGGCGAAAGGGCAGGGUCUCUGGGCCAUUUACUGACACUGAGAACGAAAAGCAUGGGGGAGCGAACAGG